rnacentral:lncRNA from 1 species
GACUUCUUCAGCUGUUUUAUGGCCCUUGGAACAAAUUGUUUGCAUCUACCCAUUCCUCCCCCACCCUGAAUGCUUGGAGUAGCCAGCCCCUAAUGCACUAAUGGAUCUGAGGGCUCUUGGUCACCUUCAACCUGUUUUAGCCCAUUUUCAAAGACCGUUUUCCCAGGUGUGGCCUCUGCACAUGCUACAGCUUCUUGGAGCCGCAGGCUGUCAUGAACCUGGCAAGAUCAGAAUGCUUCCCUCAAUUAAAUCAUGGGGAGUCAUGAACAUGGAAAGACAGAUUGGAAUCAGAUUGUGGAAGGCCUUGUGUACCAAAAUGAGGAGUUUAUAGUUUAUCCCAAAGUCUUUUCAGGCCCAGGAAAAAUCUGGGUAGUGAAAAAACAAAACAAAACAAAAACCAAAACCUGAAAAUUGGAUCCAGAAGAUGUGGAUCUAUUCAACUCCUACCUGCUGCUUCCUGGCUAUUCACCUAGCAUGACUCCUCACCUUGCUCAGCCUCAGUUGCCUCCUCUAGAGGGAACAGUAAUUCUUGUGCUCCCUAUCUCAAGAGCACUGUGAUGGUGUUAUUGUUAUUAAAAUAUGCAUAUGAUAAUAUCCCAUGAGCCUCUGCUUAUAUUUCCUAGGCCUAAAAUGCCCCUCCCUCCUGUCUCUGGCCAUUGAUAUUCUACCCAUCCUUCAAGGCCCAGCUCUAAUACCAGCUCUCCAGAAGGGCUUCCAGAAUUUCCUCAGCUGGAGGUGAUUUCUCUCCUGAUCUCUUACAGACUUGGGGCAGUCGUGCACUGUGUAAUUUAGGACUAUCUGUAUUCAUUUCUAUUCCCCGCUUGGUUUGUGAUUUCUUUCAGGGCAAGAACCAUGUCUUCUUUAUCUCUAGUUUUCUCUAAGCCUUAGCACAGAGCCUAGGCCUCAACAAACAUUUGUUGAGAGAAUUAUAGUACAUCUCAGGCAGCAAGUAUGCAAUAAAUGGAUGCAGGAGGCCUGAGUUUGGUGCUUUGAGGGGAGAAUGUUUUGAACCACAAACCACUAGAGAUCUGGGAGCUAUUAUUCUCAUGUGC